rnacentral:rRNA from 1 species
UACAGAGGGGGCAAGCGUUGUUCGGAAUUACUGGGCGUAAAGGGCGCGUAGGCGGCCUUCUAAGUCAGACGUGAAAUCCCUCGGCUCAACCGGGGAACUGCGUCUGAGACUGGAGGGCUUGAAUCCGGGAGAGGGAUGUGGAAUUCCAGGUGUAGCGGUGAAAUGCGUAGAUAUCUGGAGGAACACCGGUGGCGAAGGCGGCAUCCUGGACCGGCAUUGACGCUGAGGCGCGAAAGCCAGGGGAGCAAACGGG